CAGACUUCUCGGCCUUUUGGCUAAGAUCAAGUGUAGUACCUUUGGAUUACUGCAUUUGGAUCAGGUCCAGGGAAAGAUCCAAAAUAUUUUUUAGAAAUAAAAAAUAUUUUUGAUCCAGUACGGGACAAGAAACACAGCGAUCCAACUAGGCUUGCUGGGUAAUUAAUGGUCGGCACUGCAUCACCCUCUUAAUUGCCCAGUCGGU
rnacentral:snRNA from 1 species